rnacentral:rRNA from 1 species
UCUUUCUUUGCUGGCGACCGGCACACGGGUGAGUAACACGUAUCCAACCUGCCCUUUACUCGGGGAUAGCCUUUCGAAAGAAAGAUUAAUACCCGAUAGUAUAAUGAUUCCGCAUGGUUUCAUUAUUAAAGGAUUCCGGUAAAGGAUGGGGAUGCGUUCCAUUAGGUUGUUGGUGAGGUAACGGCUCACCAAGCCUUCGAUGGAUAGGGGUUCUGAGAGGAAGGUCCCCCACAUUGGAACUGAGACACGGUCCAA